ensembl:lncRNA
AUGGAUUUGGGAUUUGGGAUUUUGGGGAUAUUCCAUGGGGGGAUGGGGGUGGAUCCCUGGUCCCCGGAGCCCCUCGGGAAUUCCGGAUCCCGCAGGAUUGGGACCGGGGGGAGCCGGAAUCCAGAGGGGAAAUCUGGGAUUGGGAUCGGGAAUGGGAUCAGGAUCAGGGAUGGGAUCGGGAUCAGGAUCGGGGCUCGGAUUGGGAUCGGGAUCGGGAUCAGGGUUGGGAUUGGGAAUUGUAUUGGGAUUGGGGCUGGGAAUUGGAUCGGGGUCAGGAUUGGGAAUGAGAUCGGGAUCGGGGCUGGGAUCAGGGCUGGGAUUGGGAUCAAGGUUGGGAUUGGGAUCAGGGCUGGGAUUGGGAUCGGGAUCAGGAUUGGGAUUGGGAUCAAGGUUGGGACUGGGAUUGGGAUCGGGGCUGGGGCCAGAAUUGGGAUUGGGAUCAGAUUUGGGAUUGGGAUCAGGGCUGGGAUCAGGGUUGGGAUCAGGAUUGGGUUUGGGAUCAGGGCUGGAAUCGGUAUCGGAGUUGAGAUCGGGAUCAGGGCUGGGAUUGGAGUCAGGGCUGGGAUCAGGAUCGGGAUUGGAUGUGGGAUCAGGAUUGGGAUUGGGAUUGGAAUCAGGGCUGGGAUCAGGGUUGGGAUCAGAUCGGGGCUGGAAUUAGGAUCAGGAUUGGGGCCAGAAUUGGGAUCGGGAUCAGGGCUGGAUUGGGAUUGGGAUCGGGAUCGGGAUCAGGAUUGGGAAUGGGAUCAGGGUUGGGAUUGGGAUCAGGAUCAGGGCUCGGAAUGGGAUUGGGAAUGGGAUCAGAAUUGGGAUUGGGAUCGGGACUGGGAUUGGAAUCAGGGCUGGGAUCGGGAUCGGGAUCUGGGCUGGGAUUGGGAUCUGGGCUGGGAUCAGGAUCAGGGCUGGGAUUGGGAUCAGGAUUGGGAUUGGGAUCAGGGUCAGGGUUGGAAUCGGGUUCAGGGCUGGGAUCGGGAUCAGGACUGGGAUUGGGAUUGGGAUGGGGGAUGGGAUUGGGAUCAGAGUCGGGAUCAGGAU